CACUCACCUGUCCGGGACACUGAAGGAAGGAGCUGGUAAUCAGUCACUUGUGAGCGGUGAGAUUGUGUGAUCGGAGCCACAGACACAACUCUCGUGAGGGGUACCCACGGUGAUCACACACUGACUGUACUUGAAACACACGGUGCCAAUACAACAAGAGGAUCGGCAGUCAGAGCCAAAGAAGUGAC